NNNNNNNNNNNNNNNNNNNNNNNNNNNNNNNNNNNACCGGGCUGGGGAAGGGGCCGCUGCCCUGGCCCCCUGCUCCUGCCUGGGCUCCCGCAGCCCUCGGCGCCCCGAGGGCAUCCCAGGGGGGUUCGGGACGCCCAGCCCGGUGCCUGCAGGGGCUGGGUGUGCAGCUGUGCCCAGCUGUGCCCCUCACCUGCCCCACAUGUGCCCAGCUGUGCCCCCCACCUGCCCUGCUGCUGCACCCCAGAUGUGUAGGGAAAGCAGCUCUCCAGCCUCCCCCGGAGCCCCGGCCACCUCGGGACCCCCCCCGGGAGCAGCCGGCAGGGCCAAGCCCCAGCCCCCCCGUGCCGCCAGCCGGGUGCAGGGCCCGUCCCGGCGGCUCCUGCCCGGCGCUGCUCCUCCCUGCCGGGAGCAGGGCUGGCACCCAGCUUCCUCCCGAAACCACACGCCGCUCUGCGGUUUGGGCCGAGUUUCGCGUCGGGCCCCACSAGGGUGACAUCACCGGGGCGGCGUGGGGCCAGAGACGGCACCGGGGCCGGGGGGCAUUGCACGGCCGGGCCCGGCUGUGGCACCCCACGUCAGGCCUGCCCGCGUGCAGCCACACGCCGUGCCGUGCCGUGCCAUGCCGUGCCGUGCACAUGCUCCCAGAGCCGGGCUGCGCCGUGUCGCCGGCCGGGCGCGGAGCAGCCGAGCGUGCCGUCGCACGCGGCGGUAAUCGGAGCCCUGCAGAGACAAAGGCGGCGCGGCGGAGGGGCCGCCGGGGAACAGCCCCCGAGGCUGCCUGACGCCAGCGCCUCGGCCGGCCCCCGGGCACCCGUCCCCCCCAGGGAGCCGGCCGGCACGGGGAGGGGUCCCGGGCACCGACACAGGCCCGUCGUCCCCCAGCCCCAUUGUCCCCCAGCCCCGCAUCCCCAUUGUCCCAAAGCCCCAUUGUCCCCCAGCCCCAUUGUCCCCAGCCCGCAGCCCCAUUGUCCCUGGGGCGGAUGCUGCUGGCACUUCCACGAAUUGAGGGCCGGCGGGCAGCGGGGUCCCGCCGCGCUCGCUCCYGCUCGGCUCCCUCCUUCGGAGCAGGGCGACAGCUCACUUCCUCCGGGAAAACCACUUCCUUGCCGGCCCCGCAGCUGCUGGCGCCGCCAGGACGGCUCCCGCCGCGGGGUGGCCUGGCGGGGACAGGCUGAGCGUGCCGGCUGCAGCCCCCGGCGCCGCGCAGCUGUUGCCCCCACGGGGGUCCGGCUGCUC
rnacentral:lncRNA from 1 species